rnacentral:rRNA from 1 species
CCCUUAGAUGUUCUGGGCUGCACACGUGCUACACUGGCAGGUUCAGCGAGCUUCAUGCCCUGAUCUGAAAGGAAUGGGAAAUCUUUUCAAAACCUGCCGUGCUUGGGAUAGAUGUUUGCAAGUAUUCAUCUUCAACGAGGAUUGCCUUGUAAGCGCACGUCAUCAGCGUGCAUUGAAUACGACCCUGUAUUCUGUACACACCGCCCGUCGCUCCUACCGAUUGAAGUUUUCGGUGAGUUGACAGGAGGAUUUUUUUGAAACUGGUUCGCCAGUGGAUUUUAGAUCCAAAUGCCAACGAAUCGAUGGCUUUAGAGGAAGGAGAAGUCGUAACA